CAGGAAGAUGUACGGUGCAUAUCGAAA
rnacentral:piRNA from 1 species